UACGUAGGGGGCUAGCGUUGUCCGGAAUCAUUGGGCGUAAAGCGCGCGUAGGCGGCCCGGUAAGUCCGCUGUGAAAGUCCAGGGCUCAACCCUGGAAAGCCGGUGGAUACUGCCGGGCUAGAGUCCGGAAGAGGCGAGUGGAACUCCUGGUGUAGCGGUGGAAUGCGCAGAUAUCAGGAAGAACACCAACGGCGAAGGCAGCUCGCUGGGACGGUACUGACGCUGAGACGCGAAAGCGUGGGGAGCGAACAGG
rnacentral:rRNA from 1 species